UGGGGAACCUGCCCCAUAGUCUGGGAUACCACUUGGAAACAGGUGCUAAUACCGGAUAAGAAAGCAGAUCGCAUGAUCAGCUUUUAAAAGGCGGCGUAAGCUGUCGCUAUGGGAUGGCCCCGCGGUGCAUUAGCUAGUUGGUAAGGUAAAGGCUUACCAAGGCGAUGAUGCAUAGCCGAGUUGAGAGACUGAUCGGCCACAUUGGGACUGAGACACGGCCCAAACUCCUACGGGAGGCAGCAGGU
rnacentral:rRNA from 1 species